AGGAAUUGGAAUGGCCCAGCUUGCUGGGUUGAUUAGUGGCGAACGGGUGAGUAACACGUGAGUAACCUGCCCUUGACUUCGGGAUAACUCCGGGAAACCGGGGCUAAUACCGGAUAUGAGCCGUCCUCGCAUGGGGGUGGUUGGAAAGUUUUUCGGUCAGGGAUGGGCUCGCGGCCUAUCAGCUUGUUGGUGGGGUGAUGGCCUACCAAGGCGACGACGGGUAGCCGGCCUGAGAGGGCGACCGGCCACACUGGGACUGAGACACGGCCCAGACUCCUACGGGAGGCAGCAGUGGGGAAUAUUGCACAAUGGGCGAAAGCCUGAUGCAGCGACGCCGCGUGAGGGAUGACGGCCUUCGGGUUGUAAACCUCUUUCAGCAGGGAAGAAGCGCAAGUGACGGUACCUGCAGAAGAAGCGCCGGCUAACUACGUGCCAGCAGCCGCGGUAAUACGUAGGGCGCAAGCGUUGUCCGGAAUUAUUGGGCGUAAAGAGCUCGUAGGCGGUUUGUCGCGUCUGGUGUGAAAACUCGAGGCUCAACCUCGAGCUUGCAUCGGGUACGGGCAGACUAGAGUGCGGUAGGGGAGACUGGAAUUCCUGGUGUAGCGGUGGAAUGCGCAGAUAUCAGGAGGAACACCGAUGGCGAAGGCAGGUCUCUGGGCCCGCAACUGACGCUGAGGAGCGAAAGCAUGGGGAGCGAACAGGAUUAGAUACCCUGGUAGUCCAUGCCGUAAACGUUGGGCACUAGGUGUGGGGCUCAUUCCACGAGUUCCGUGCCGCAGCAAACGCAUUAAGUGCCCCGCCUGGGGAGUACGGCCGCAAGGCUAAAACUCAAAGGAAUUGACGGGGGCCCGCACAAGCGGCGGAGCAUGCGGAUUAAUUCGAUGCAACGCGAAGAACCUUACCAAGGCUUGACAUGCACGGGAAGCCACCAGAGAUGGUGGUCUCUUUGGACACUCGUGCACAGGUGGUGCAUGGUUGUCGUCAGCUCGUGUCGUGAGAUGUUGGGUUAAGUCCCGCAACGAGCGCAACCCUCGUCCCAUGUUGCCAGCGGGUUAUGCCGGGGACUCAUGGGAGACUGCCGGGGUCAACUCGGAGGAAGGUGGGGAUGACGUCAAAUCAUCAUGCCCCUUAUGUCUUGGGCUUCACGCAUGCUACAAUGGCCGGUACAAAGGGCUGCGAUACCGUAAGGUGGAGCGAAUCCCAAAAAGCCGGUCUCAGUUCGGAUUGGGGUCUGCAACUCGACCCCAUGAAGUCGGAGUCGCUAGUAAUCGCAGAUCAGCAACGCUGCGGUGAAUACGUUCCCGGGCCUUGUACACACCGCCCGUCAAGUCACGAAAGUCGGUAACACACGG
rnacentral:rRNA from 1 species